rnacentral:rRNA from 1 species
AUUGAACGCUGGAGGCAGGCUUAACACAUGCAAGUCGAGCGAGCGGCGGACGGGUGAGUACUGUCUGGGAAACUGCCUGAUGGAGGGGGAUAACUACUGGAAACGGUAGCUACUACCGCAGACCAUCAGAUGUGCAACGAUGGGAUUAGCUAGUAGGUGGGGUAAUGGCUCACCUAGGCGACGAUCCCUAGCUGGGCUGAGAAGAUGACCAGCCACACUGAGACUGAGAGACGGUCCAGACUCCUACGGGAGGCAGCAGGAGGGAAUAUUGCACAAUGGGCGCAAGCCUGAUGCAGCCAUGCCGCGUGUGUGAAGGAGGCCUUCGGGUUGUAAAGCACUUUCAGCGAGGAGGCGUUACUCUCCUAGGAAGCACCGGCUAACUCCGUGCCAGCAGCCGCGGUACUAC